CGAAGGGUGCAAACGUUGCUCGGAAUCAUUGGGCGUAAAGCGCACGUAGGCGGCCCGAUAAGUCGGAUGUGAAAUCCCUCGGCUCAACCGAGGACGUGCAUUCGAAACUGUCGGGCUCGAGUAUGGAAGAGGGUCGCGGAAUUCCCGGUGUAGAGGUGAAAUUCGUAGAUAUCGGGAGGAACACCAGUGGCGAAGGCGGCGACCUGGGCCAAUACUGACGCUGAGGUGCGAAAGCGUGGGGAGCAAACAGGAUU
rnacentral:rRNA from 1 species